AGAACAGCCCACACAGUUUAGUCAGCUUGGAACUCAAAGGUGAUGCCUAAUAGCAUCAUCUUGGCAUGAAGUGGAACAGACCGUUUUCUGAAAAUGUACAAGUCCACCUGAGUCUGGAGAGUGCAGAGAUAACGUGACCCGUGUCUCAGCAGCUAGUCUGUUCCACCCCACACACUGGUGGUGCCUAUGUGAAUCUUUAGACCCUCCAGGGCACACGAGAAAGUAUCCCGUUGAGUAAGGGAUCCUUCUAGAUACUAUAGACUGUGGCUUCUCAUCUUGGAGAUCCUCGAUAGAGUGUCUUUCUUCUGCCAUCCAGAAAAUGCCUGUAUAGACUCAUGGAUCUGAGCUGGUGAUGAAAAGGAAUUUCUCUUC